rnacentral:rRNA from 1 species
UACGUAGGGUGCAAGCGUUGUCCGGAAUUACUGGGCGUAAAGAGCUCGUAGGUGGUUUGUCGCGUUGUUCGUGAAAACUCACAGCUUAACUGUGGGCGUGCGGGCGAUACGGGCAGACUUGAGUACUGCAGGGGGAGACUGGAAUUCCUGGUGUAGCGGUGGAAUGCGCAGAUAUCAGGAGGAACACCGGUGGCGAAGGCGGGUCUCUGGGCAGUAACUGACGCUGAGGAGCGAAAGCGUGGGGAGCGAACAGG